GACGAACGCUGGCGGCGUGCUUAACACAUGCAAGUCGAACGGAAAGGCCCUGCUUUUGUGGGGUGCUCGAGUGGCGAACGGGUGAGUAACACGUGAGUAACCUGCCCUUGACUUUGGGAUAACUUCAGGAAACUGGGGCUAAUACCGGAUAGGAGCUCCUGCUGCAUGGUGGGGGUUGGAAAGUUUCGGCGGUUGGGGAUGGACUCGCGGCUUAUCAGCUUGUUGGCGGGGUAGUGGCUUACCAAGGCUUUGACGGGUAGCCGGCCUGAGAGGGUGACCGGCCACAUUGGGACUGAGAUACGGCCCAGACUCCUACGGGAGGCAGCAGUGGGGAAUAUUGCACAAUGGGCGGAAGCCUGAUGCAGCAACGCCGCGUGCGGGAUGAUGGCCUUCGGGUUGUAAACCGCUUUCGCCUGUGACGAAGCGUGAGUGACGGUAAUGGGUAAAGAAGCACCGGCUAACUACGUG
rnacentral:rRNA from 1 species